rnacentral:lncRNA from 1 species
AUGCUAUUUGAUCACAAGCAUGUAGCAAAUGUCACAUUGGAGAUGGACAGGAGGAAGCCCUGUCUUAUCCUGACGGAUAUCCUAAAGACAGAACAGGGCAGGGCUCAUAUGGAAAGGAUAAGUAAGAGGUGUAGCAUGGCAAAUCGAGGACAAGUGUCAAGCACAUGGAGGGAGAGUGGUCCGUGCAAAGAGGAACCCCUGAUCACCAGAGACACGAGGUCAGGUCAGAGGGUGGCCAAGAACGAUAAGAAUAAGAAUGUAACCCCGAAAUGCAACCAGAAGGCUGUCUCCUCUCCUUCUCAAAGAUCACGAUUGCGGCGAAGGUUACAAAAUACUGAUGACGAAGUGGACAAAGAAGAAAAAGACAUCGAGGAGGUGAUAAUCGGCAAGGACAGCGGAGAGGACUACAAACUGGAAGUUGUUGAUUGUGGGUUGUCAGUGAGGUGGGAUCCUGCCGAGGAUUCGGGAGGAUGUGAUGAGUUCUCCCCAGCUCGCAUCAAGGACAGGUGGACCGAUUCAGAAAAAGAAUUACAACACAGUUUGAAGAGGAAAAGAAAGGAUACAGGGUCCCAGUGCAAUGGAACUGGUACCUCAAAAUGCCACCGUGAAAGUGUGCUUCGCCUCACUGGAGAAGACCGAAGAGAUGGAGGACCAGACCCUCCAGAUAUUUGCCUGGAAGAAGGUGGAGAAGACGGAGAUCUGGAGAGCCUGGACCGUAGCAUUGUACAAUUCACUGUGGGAGCAGAGGAUCCUACAGAGGGUCUGCUUCCAAUCAUCAGUGCCAAUAUGCAGGCUGGAGACUUUAUUGUUACCCCCAUACAAAGUCCAUCAUCAGGCCAGGACAACACAACCAAAACCAGCCCAUCUGAACCCAUUAUCCUGUCCAGUGACGAUGAGGAGAGCAGUGACGUUCCUCAGCUCUGCAGCCCAGCGGUCCAUACACUGGUCACGUUGGAAGACGCAAUACAGGGACAAUCCCCAGAUGGAGCUGGGGCCGAACAUCAAGAAGCUUCUGACUUGGAAAACGUACAGCUGCUGCAUGUAGUUGUAGAAGAUCUUCCUCCAAUGGAAGUUUCUCUCAUCCCCGCUGUAGACUACACCUGCAUGCAGGUGGGCUUCUCCACCCUGCACUGUGGAGGUUACCAAGGGAAAUCGAAUGGAGACAUCAUGAUGGCAGAUGAAAAAGUCAUCAUCCCACUGAAGGACUCCAGUGAAGAGGUGGAGGUCAUGGUAACCUUUGAGCGUAAAGAGCUGCGGAGGUACAGCGUUUGGGAGCAGCAGGAACUGGAGGCCCAGGAGCUUCACUUUAGGAGCAACGAGGAGCUUUCCCCUCCCGCUUUCCUUCUGCUUUGUGUGUCAGAAACGGCUGGAGCUGCAGUACAUCGGGACCUCCUCAAGCUCUGUGUUGAUCAAGAGGCAAUCAUGAACACGGGUGAGAAGGCUCCCAGUGUAGAUACAAAUUGGGAGUUCACGUAG